AUAAAAUGUUAACGUUUAAACAUCGACUUCCCUGGGGCACAAACAAACUCAGAAAAAUGAUAAAUAAAAAGAAUAAAUUGUACUCUAAAAUAAAAAAGGACAAAAACUAUAUAGUUAAAUAUAAAAAAACUAAAACAACAAGUCCAACAAGAACAGAGACGUGCCUAUUGUACAUACAUAGAAAAAAUGAUCCUUGACCUUCCAACAAAUGACCCGGACCUAAGUUACAGCAACC
rnacentral:lncRNA from 1 species